rnacentral:rRNA from 1 species
UACGAAGGUCCCGAGCGUUGUUCGGAAUCACUGGGCGUAAAGGGAGCGUAGGCGGCAUGGUAAGUCAGAUGUGAAAUCCCCGGGGCUCAACCCCGGAACUGCAUCCGAUACUGCCUUGCUUGAGGGUUGGAGAGGUGACUGGAAUUCUCGGUGUAGCAGUGAAAUGCGUGGAUAUCGAGAGGAACACUCGUGGCGAAGGCGAGUCACUGGACAACAUCUGACGCUGAGGCUCGAAGGCUAGGGGAGCAAAAGGG